rnacentral:tmRNA from 1 species
GGGACAGUAUGGAUUCGACGGAAAGAUCAUUUACAAAAAGUGGCAAGCCGAGCAUGCAAUUUUAUCUCGCUAAUCUGAAUUGCAAACACUAAGUGCAAAAACCUUAGUAGAAAAAGUAAAGACCGCUUUUGCGGGCUUUGCUCUUUCACCUGUCAUAGCCUAAUUGCUAUGACUGUCCUGCGGAGCGUUUAACUCGGGCGACCGCCGGGCAAAACCUACGAGUUUGCGACGGCGUAGAUAUCCUUGGUAAACCGUCUAAGCAAAACUAAGGAAACCCAAAGCUUGUCAACCACUCUUGUGAAACUUUUCGGACGGCGGUUCGAUUCCGCCCUGUUCCACCA